GGUACGCGAGCUGGGUUCAGACCGUCGUGAGACAGGUCGGUCUCUAUCCUCUGUGGGCGUAAGGGAUUUGAGAGGAGCUGCUCCUAGUACGAGAGGACCGGAGUGGACUGACCUCUGGUGUGCCAGUUGUUCCGCCAGGAGCAUCGCUGGGUAGCUACGUCGGGCAGAGAUAACCGCUGAAAGCAUCUAAGUGGGAAACUCGCCUCAAGAUUAGAUCCCUGUAUUCCGGUUAACGGAGUAAGACCGCAGGUAGACCACCUGCUAUAUAGGCAGCAUGUGUAAGCACAGUAAUGUGUUGAGCUAAGCUGUACUAAUGGUCGAGGGCUCAAUCCCG
rnacentral:rRNA from 1 species